rnacentral:rRNA from 1 species
UACGGAGGGUGCGAGCGUUGCUCGGAAUUAUUGGGCGUAAAGCGUACGCAGGCGGCUUCAUAAGUCGGGUGUGAAAGCCCGGGGCUCAACCCCGGAAAUGCGCCCGAGACUGGUGGGGCUUGAAUGCGGGGAGAGGGAAGCGGAAUUCCUGGUGUAGAGGUGAAAUUCGUAGAUAUCAGGAGGAACACCGGUGGCGAAAGCGGCUUCCUGGCCCGACAUUGACGCUCAUGUACGAAAGCGUGGGGAGCAAACAGG